rnacentral:misc_RNA from 1 species
GAUGAAGAACGCAGCGAAAUGCGAUAAGUAAUGUGAAUUGCAGAAUUCAGUGAAUCAUCGAAUCUUUGAAUGCACAUUGCGCCCGCUAGUAUUCUGGCGGGCAUGCCUGUUCGAGCGUCAUUUCAACCAUCAAGCCCUGCUUGUGUUGGGGUCCUGCGGCUGCCCGCAGGCCCUGAAAACCAGUGGCGGGCUCGCUAGUCACACCGAGCGCAGUAGCACAUCUCGCUCAGGGCGUGCGGCGGGUUCUUGCCGUAAAACACCCCCUUUUUACCAAGGUUGACCUCGGAUCAGGUAGGAAUACCCGCUGAACUUAAGCAUAUCAAUAAGCGGAGGA